GCGUUGUUCGGAAUUACUGGGCGUAAAGGGCGCGUAGGCGGCCUGUUUAGUCAGAAGUGAAAGCCCCGGGCUCAACCUGGGAAUAGCUUUUGAUACUGGCAGGCUUGAGUUCCGGAGAGGAUGGUGGAAUUCCCAGUGUAGAGGUGAAAUUCGUAGAUAUUGGGAAGAACACCGGUGGCGAAGGCGGCCAUCUGGACGGACACUGACGCUGAGGCGCGAAAGCGUG
rnacentral:rRNA from 1 species